CGAUGAAUAAAUCAAUCGAGAAACGUCCCGCUUGUUCCUUUCUAAUCCUCUUCGGAACGAGAAACGACCUUGACGGUUAUGGCACUGCCGGCGCACGGCAAUUGACAGUCGUGUCUCCUCUGCUUCGCCGCUUUCUCGUUCUUCGAACGCGAGCGUUUCAUUUCCGGCCAAUCAAUUUUUCUACGACGCAUCCAGCAUUCGAAAUGAUUUGGUCCGACGUGCAGCUUCGUUCCGUUCUUUGCAUUUUGCCGCCAAACCCAGAGUGAACGCGGGCUCAACCCGCGACCUAACGAAGACUUAACCUAUAAACUGAAGAAUACAGUAGAAAGUGGAAUGAAAAGCGGUAGGUUCGCCUUCCCUGAAAAACCAUGGUAAUAACCACACUUACCGUAGGAACGCCAGCUUUCUGAGCGUCGCGUCAACAGACGCUGUUUGCGCGACUUUGCACGAGGUGGGCCCUUAGGGGAGACAGCCGAACCCCGGUGCUUUUUACGAAUUAGAUGAAAGCGGAACGGCGUGAGGGUGUCCGGAUUUGUCUUGAAGGUAAGCCGCUGCUAACAAAUACAUAAAUACGGGACGGGCCGGACAUCGGAGACCGGCGAGCGGUAAUGAGGGGUUAAUUAGAUCCCGUCCCGGCGGGAAAAGGAGGAAAAAUAUUGUUGCAGAGGCAAAGCGCGGCGGUGGCCCGCGGCAUCGUAGCGGCCGGAUACCGGUUCUCGGCGCCGCGCCUUUAAGUAAGACCUUCGUAAAUAAAGACUGUUGUUGCCGUUCUCGCUCUCGGACGUCGGGGCUGUUGGUUCAUCUAAUUGUGGUAAUCGUUUUCGCGUCACCGCGGGAACACAAGUCGGGAAUAGGGCUCCGCCACUCCGAAGAGAAAAUAAUCGAGUUGGAUUCGUCUUUGACGAUUCCGCCGCCCACCGGACCGGAGGGCAAGCUGCGACGUUGACGUCGACGUAGACGGAGCCACGGCUUCGGCUACUCUCUCCCGCGUCGGACGGCUUCCCCUUCCCCCUUCCUCCUUCCCUUUUAAUGGGACACUCGGUCGCGCGCGGCUGCCUGCCGUUUCUCCGCCCGACGGAACAGAUGUCUCCACCUCCUUCGCCUCCUCCUUUUCGAUGCGAAAUGAAAAAAAAAUUUAUCUCCGCCGGCGCGCGGGGAACGGGGCCCUGCCACCCCUGAUUCUUUACGGCUUUGAAUUCGUAGUGAUGACACAUUUUUCAAAAAGUAUAACUGUGUUGUUCAAGACGUCGCAUUUUAAAGAAUGUUUUACACUUGCUCUAUCAUUAAUUUCAAGGCGUAAAUAUCAUUUACCGAGUAUGAUACAGCUAUACGAGUACAA